GACAAACGCUGGCGGCGUGCCUAAUACAUGCAAGUCGAACGACGAAAGCCUUCGGGCAAGUAAGAGUGGCGCACGGGCGAGGAACACGUAGAUAAUCUGCCCUUCAGUGGGGAAUAACUCUCCGAAAGGAGUGCUAAUACCGCAUAAGACCACAAGCUCUGCGGAGCAAGGGGUUAAAGGAUUUAUUCGCUGAAGGAUGAGUCGGCGUCCGAUUAGCUAGUUGGUGAGGUAAUGACUUACCAAGGCAAUGAUCGGUAGAUGGUCUGAGAGGAUGAUCAUCCGCACUGGAACUGAGACACGGUCCAGACUCCUACGGGAGGCAGCAGUAGGGAAUAUUGCACAAUGGGGGAAACCCUGAUGCAGCAACGCCGCGUGAGUGAUGAAGGCUCUAGGGUCGUAAAGCUCUGUCGUAUGGGAAGAAAAAAAUGACGGUACCAUACAAGAAAGGACCGGCCAACUUCGUGCCAGCAGCCGCCGUAA
rnacentral:rRNA from 1 species